AUUUAGCGUUUAACACAAUUUAUUCGUUGCGAAAAGGAAAACUUAUUUCAACYGUUCUAUAAUACAUACUUCACUCUACAUUAUGUUGA
rnacentral:misc_RNA from 1 species